ensembl:lncRNA
GUUCGUGUGACUCUGUGUGCGUGUUCAUGUGUGUGCACGUAUGUGUAUGCCUCCAAAGCCUUUCAUUUGCUUAUGUACCCCUGUUACGGUUUAGACCCCCAAAACUCUCAUGCUCAGGGGCAGGGCUUUUGGGAGGGGACUGGAUCCAGCCUCAGAGCUGACGUGCCGUCAGGAGGUGGGGCCUAGUUAGAGGGGUGUUGCUGGGGGCGUGGCCUGGAAGGGUUUCUCUCCUUUCCUGGCUCCUCCCUUCUCUCUGCUUCCGGCCGCCAUGAUGUGAGCAGCUUUCCUCCACUCAGACCCUUCAACCACGGUAUUUCUGCCUUGGAGCUGGCCAGCGGUGCAAGGACCGAGACUUCUAAAACUAGAACCAGACAAAGGCUGGAGACCUGAGGGGUGAGGAGAUCCUGCUUCAUAGAUUGUUUCUACACCAAUGAGAAUGAGCCAGUGGAGUUGGGGAACAGUGAGACAUGCAGAAGAGGGAAGUAGCCAGCGUCCUUGAGCAGACAAAAAGAAGCAAGACCCAAGUCCCCAGGGAGGGGGACAGCCUCAGACAGAAGCAGGGGAGGUGCAUUCUGAGGGACACAUGUGACAGAGGGGAGAUGACCAGGGAAGAUGGAGGAUGGAGGAGUUCUUUUCCAUGACUUUUCUUGUUGUCAGGAAAAGGCGAGGCCAUCAGCCCAGAGCACUGAUGCGUCUCUAUUUUGCAGGUGCCAUAGCUGGGAUCAAAUGUAACAGAAACAAGGGUCCGAGUGCCAGGAGAGGAGAAGGAAGCUGCUCAGUUGGAGGCCUAAGGCCACUUGACCCCAGGACUCUCUCUCCUCCCUCUUGGUGCCUGCCGAGUGUCUGGUCCACAGCAAGCGUGCUCAGGGUGGCUGCUGAAUGAGGGACUGUUCCCGCCUCUCUACCUCAGACCUCUGUGAUGCAGGCUGUGUCUUCAACACCUGCCCCUGGCUGUGCUUUGCUUCUGGUCUCUGGAAGCAGAGAGGGAAACCGAAGUCCGCCAGGGCAGGUUGGUGUCCUUCAGGGCUGAGAGGCCACCGUGGGAAUCAAGGAAGAGGGGAUGUGGGAGAGACCUUAGCAGUUCUGGUGCUGGUCUUGCGAUGGAGAUCGACCUUCGGCUGUGGCUCAGGGCAAAGGUGACCCGGUUACUCUACUGCUUAAACUCCUCAGUGUGAUGAUAAUAACAGGAACUUAGGAGCUAUUGCUGUGUGCCUCCUUCUUUUACGGUGUGAAGGCCACCACUGAAAUGGAUGUGUGCCAACAAAAUUCACAUGCUGAAAUUCAGUCCCUGUGAGACGGUAUUAAUAGGUGGGACCUCCAAGGGGGUUUAGGUCACCUCCAUAAGGCAGAGCCCUCAGGCGUGGGAUCAGAAUCUGUGGAAGGGCUUGAGGGAGCCUGCCUGUCCCCUGUCCCCUGCCAAGUGGGGACUCGGUGAAAGGGUGCCGUCUGUGAGGCACAGACACUGAACCUGGUACCUGGACCUUGGACUUCUCGGCCAACGCUGGAGUUCUGGAGAGCAGUACUGGAGAACCGGAAGUACUUCUCAGUGCCGAGAGCAGCCCAGUCUGAGGUGUUUACUUCAGCCUGAACAGACCACACAGGGGACCCCUAAAGUCCCGCCCAGAGCCUCUGCCGUCAUUUGCUGUGAGACUCCCUGUUUCAGUGAUGAAGAAGAGUCUUGGAGGCCUGAAGGACUUGCCCACGGUUAUCUCACUUCAGAGUCGGGCUCCCCCGCUUCUCGGCGGCCUUAUUCCUCCCCGGGGUUGCACCGUCCCCCCUGUGUCCCUCGGCGCCCCCACGCAGAUUUAUUGCAGUCCUCGGGGGUCUGGUUUCCCGCACACGCCUCCUCCGAGCGCCAAUGCCCAGGUCCCAGCGGCCUCUCCGCCACCCAUC